rnacentral:lncRNA from 1 species
AUUGCCCGCCGCGGGCGCCGGCGGAGGUGCUGUCGGCUCCGGCGGCGGCGCCGUCGGGGUCAACUCCAACUCGGUGCUGGUGGCCCUGCUGGAUUCGCACUACACGGAGCUGGCGGAGCUGGUGGAGAAGGCGCUGCUCCUGCAGACGCUCGAGGACGCCGUGGGGAAGCACAACGUCACCAUCUUCGCGCCGCGGAACGAGGCGCUGGAGCGGGACCUCGACCCCGAGUUCAAGCGCUUCCUCCUCGAGCCCCGCAACCUCAAGUCGCUGCAGGCGCUGCUGCUCUACCACGUCCUCCCCGCGCGCCUCCCCUCCGAGUCCUGGCCUGCCGCGUCCCACCCCACGC